rnacentral:rRNA from 1 species
GGGGAAUAUUGCACAAUGGGGGGAAACCCUGAUGCAGCGACGCCGCGUGAACGAAGAAGUAUUUCGGUAUGUAAAGUUCUAUCAGCAGGGAAGAGAAUGACGGUACCUGACUAAGAAGCCCCGGCUGACUACGUGCCAGCAGCCGCGGUAAUACGUAGGGGGCAAGCGUUAUCCGGAUUUACUGGGUGUAAAGGGAGCGUAGACGGCAUGCCAAGUCUGAUGUGAAAGGCAGGGGCUCAACCCCUGGACUGCAUUGGAAACUGGCAGGCUUGAGUGCCGGAGGGGUACGCGGAAUUCCUAGUGUAGCGGUGAAAUGCGUAGAUAUUAGGAGGAACACCAGUGGCGAAGGCGGCUUACUGGACGGUAACUGACGUUGAGG